rnacentral:lncRNA from 1 species
GUCUGAAACAAAAGACCCACUCAGGGUACAGCCUCAUUUGAAAAAGUGUUUUGAAGGCAUAGCGUGUUUGACCUUUGAUGUAAAUAAAGUCAUACUGGCAAUGGAAUCAGCUGAAAAGGAAAGAGUGAAUUUUACAAUGAAAAUUAUUCCAGCUGAUGCUCAGGGAUUAGUGGAGAGAUGGUUACAA